rnacentral:rRNA from 1 species
AACCCCUGUGACAUACCUUACUGUUGCCUCGGCGGAUCAGCCCGCUCCCGGUAAAACGGGACGGCCCGCCAGAGGACCCCUAAACUCUGUUUCUAUAUGUAACUUCUGAGUAAAACCAUAAAUAAAUCAAAACUUUCAACAACGGAUCUCUUGGUUCUGGCAUCGAUGAAGAACGCAGCAAAAUGCGAUAAGUAAUGUGAAUUGCAGAAUUCAGUGAAUCAUCGAAUCUUUGAACGCACAUUGCGCCCGCCAGUAUUCUGGCGGGCAUGCCUGUUCGAGCGUCAUUUCAACCCUCAAGCCCUCGGGUUUGGUGUUGGGGAUCGGCGAGCCUUUCUGGCAAGCCGGCCCCGAAAUCUAGUGGCGGUCUCGCUGCAGCCUCCAUUGCGUAGUAGUAAAACCCUCGCAACUGGAACGCGGCGCGGCCAAGCCGUUAAACCCCCAACUUCUGAAUGUUGACCUCGGAUCAGGUAGGAAUACCCGCUGAACUUAAGCAUAUCAAUAAGCGGAGGA